rnacentral:rRNA from 1 species
GAUGAACGCUAGCGGCAGGCUUAACACAUGCAAGUCGAGCGGAGAUGAGGUGCUUGCACCUUAUCUCAGCGGCGGACGGGUGAGUAAUGCCUAGGAAUCUGCCUGGUAGUGGGGGACAACGUUUCGAAAGGAACGCUAAUACCGCAUACGUCCUACGGGAGAAAGCAGGGGACCUUCGGGCCUUGCGCUAUCAGAUGAGCCUAGGUCGGAUUAGCUAGUAGGUGAGGUAAUGGCUCACCUAGGCGACGAUCCGUAACUGGUCUGAGAGGAUGAUCAGUCACACUGGAACUGAGACACGGUCCAGACUCCUACGGGAGGCAGCAGUGGGGAAUAUUGGACAAUGGGCGAAAGCCUGAUCCAGCCAUGCCGCGUGUGUGAAGAAGGUCUUCGGAUUGUAAAGCACUUUAAGUUGGGAGGAAGGGCAGUAAGUUAAUACCUUGCUGUUUUGACGUUACCAACAGAAUAAGCACCGGCUAACUUCGUGCCAGCCGCCGCCGUAAUAC